rnacentral:lncRNA from 1 species
UGUAACCUCUGCCUCCCGGGUUCAAGCGAUUCUCAUGCUUCAGCGUCCCAAGUAGCUGGGAUUACAGGCCUCCAGUUGCAAAGCUCUCCAUUGUCAGAUUACGCUGCCCGAUGGGCAUGAAAAGUCCACAAAAGAGAAUUUUCUGAUGUGAGAAUGGAGGGUGUUGCCUGCAACUACCCCAGAUCCCUGCGGUGGCAGUUUAAGCCGCCUCCUGGAACAGAUUGUUAAGCUGAUGCGAGUCUGGGCUCUGCCUCACCACUUGUCUCAGAGAAUGUCCAGUGCUAGGAGACUCAUAAGUUGGAGAGAAAUGGCCUGAUUUAUAGAAACUGAGCGAGACUCCGGAGCCACCUGAUGCAGAGAAAACUGUGACCUGAAAAAGUCUAUUUGUGUUUCCUCUGGGAAUCUGGGCCAAGAAGACAGGGACAAGCUCCCAACUCUGACUACCCCUUUUACAGGGAAAAACAAAUCCCGUGCCUUCUUUGCAGCAAGUGACAAAUCCUUGUCAU